AACAUGGCGCGUUGAACGACCGGACCAGAGAGACUAUGAAACAUGGCGCAUUUAAUGACCGGACCAGACUUCAGUGUUUUUGGACAUGGACUUGCACCUUAAAAUCGGGAGUCCUUCCCAGGCCCCUGCUGUGAUGAACCCACCCCUCUGACACUACCUUCCAUCGCCCCUCCCUUGGACCACCUCGCUCCCCCCUCCAGCCACGGACCCCCGAAGGAGACCCGUGGAGGAUGUUCUGGAGGAGUUAAACUACGCAUCAAGAACAGAAUUUUGUGAUAUCCAAUUGGUAGUUUGCACUCCUUCUUGGCAAUUUCUCGCGUGGAAUAGCCUUCACGUCUCAGAACAAGAAUAGACUGCCGAGUUUCAGAAGAAAGUUAUUUGUUUCUGGCCAUUUUGAGCCUGUAAUAGAACCCACAGACGCUGAUGCUCCAGAUACUCAACUCGUCUAAAGAAUUCCAGGUGUA